ACAUCCUCAUAAAUCCUGCUGUUCAGUGACAAGUGAGGGUGGGCGCCGAACACCGGUAAGGAGAGCUCUGAACUCACACAUCUCAUUUUUAUGAAAUACCUUUGAAGACACCUUUUCUUUUGAGUACCUAGACCAAAGAAACUACCCCUCAACCCAGCAACAAAUGUACCAUUUAGGAGAGCCAGCUGCCUUAACAGAGCGCCACAAUCUGGAGGCCAUAAACUGUACGGCAAGGUCACUGCGUUUGCUGUAAGACUUCUCUCUUGUCUGGGGCUGGCUGCUUCCUGUCCCUGCAGUCUCCUGUACACACUCGUGGCCACCUUGGGACCUAACACUUCUUAGCAGACCUAUUGGACAACACAGCCACAUGCUGUGUUGUGGGAACCGGGGCUUCAGCAUGGAAACCCGAGGAGGUAGAGCUCAACCAGACCACCAAGGCUCAUUUCCAUCUUUGCUUGUUAGUCUUUAGAUGCUAAGUUAUGUCACUUCCAUAGCUUACUAUAUCACGUAACCCAAUGUCUAAUCUUCUCUGUUUCCUUUACUUUAGCAAUCUAGAAAUUAUAUUUUUGGAUGAGUAUUCCUUUUUCAAUUAUAUUUUCUGCUACAAUGGAAAAAUGGAAUCGGGAACUGUGAACUUAACCUUCAUUUCCUAGGCUGUGGCUGAGUUGUCAUGUUCACGUUUAUGUCUCAUGCUGCAGCUUCUUCUGUGGUGUUUGAGGACAUCUUUCCCCAGUGCUUUUUUGCUUUUUAUUGAUUUAUUUAGUUGCUGCACACACACACACACACACACACACACACACACACACACACACACAGAGGAAUGGGUUGGUCUUGCUAUGCACCUCUAGUUCAUCUGGAACUCACUAUGUCGGCCAGGCUAUCCUCAAGUGAACAGAUAAAGGCCUGCCUCUGCCUCCCAGUGCUAGGAUUACAGGUGAGCUCUACCAUGCUUGGCAUUGAAACAUUUCUAAAUAAUGUGCAGAGUAUUUUGUCUUCAUUUAUGUCUGUGUACCACAUCCAUGUCAGGGGCCAGCAGAGGAAGCAGAGGACAUGGGCUGCCCUAGAACUGGAGUUACAGGCAUGCAACUGAGCUAGCUGCCAUGAGGGUUCUGGGAACCUGGAUCCUCUGGAAGAUGCCAGUGCUCUUAGCCACUGAACUCCUAAUCAGUCCUUUUUGUUUUUUAAGAUUAAAAUAUUUUCUAAUUAAUGCCCAGGAAUUUCAGGUAUUAGUAGGAUUCACCGUGGCAUUUCCAUAUGUGCACAUGCUCUCUGCAUAGGUCAAGUCCAUCUACUCUCUGUCCCUGACUCCUCCCCUGCAACACUCCUCUUGUCCAUAAAUAGCCCCUCUCCAGUUCCCUUCCCUUCUCUGGCCAUCACUGGUCUGCUGGGGUUUCUGUAGCGAGCGAGAGCAUGCUCUGUUUCGUCUUUCUGCUCCUCUACUACUGCUAGCUUCUAUGAUUGACAGUUUGUACACUUCUCUAGCUUAUGUUGUUUCAUUUUGUGGGUGUGGAUUAUGGGGUUCAACACCCACGAGAGCCAAGGAGGCUCAGGUGGACUACAGAGUUUCUUCAACGAGUCUUCUUUAGUGCUACUGUGUGGUAAGCCCUGUCCUUAGUUCCCAAAUAGAGCUGGAAUUGGAAUCAUCAUCAUGUUAGUACUCUUGUGCAAUUGGAACUCUAACAUGGAACUUGGAGGGGGCUCCAGAGGAGCUGAGGAUACACAUGUAUUCUCUUGCUGCUCUAAUUUGUUUUUAGUAUUGGCACGAGCUUCCCUAGGGCUUAAAGAACAAACACAUGUGUGAAGUAGUUGGUUCAGGCUAGCAAUUGAUAGCAGCUCAGUCCCUGGGAGAGAGAUGAACAUGGAGUUAGUCUACAAAGACCAUGAUGUCAGAAGAGUCAAAGAAAGUGAACCAGCGAAAGGCGAAAAAUACUGAGCCGAGGGUUGUUGGGUCCCCCCCCCCCCACAAAUUUAAGAUUGUAUCUUAACAAAACAUAAAUAAAUAAACACCUUUG
rnacentral:lncRNA from 1 species